rnacentral:rRNA from 1 species
CAGUAGCCACGGGAAUACGUAGGGUGCAAGCGUUAAUCGGAAUUACUGGGCGUAAAGCGUGCGCAGGCGGUUUGUUAAGACAGAUGUGAAAUCCCCGGGCUUAACCUGGGAACUGCAUUUGUGACUGGCGAGCUAGAGUAUGGCAGAGGGGGGUAGAAUUCCACGUGUAGCAGUGAAAUGCGUAGAGAUGUGGAGGAAUACCGAUGGCGAAGGCAGCCCCCUGGGCCAAUACUGACGCUCAUGCACGAAAGCGUGGGGAGCAAACAGGAUUAGAUACCCGCGUAGUCCCUGUCUCUUAUAC